UUUAGGGAGACCCACUUUUGAGAUAGUUAGAAACAGUUAGUUAAUAGCUAGUAACUCAAAAGCUAUCCCGAGGUCGUUCAUUAGUCAAUAGUGCAAGCUUUCAAACUAUUCUUGGUUCACCUAAGUUGUUUAACUGUAAACUUCUUAGAAAAACUAAAUUGUUAUUUCUGAAUGACAGAUUUAAUUUGGUUAGUUUUUUAGUUAAUAACUGUUGUAUUAGCUUAUUAAGAGUAUAUACAAUUGGAUAAGAUUCAGCAUCUUGUGAUAUAAGCAAGAAUGCUGGGGUAUUUCCAGCAAAAGAACCUUGAAAACUGCAUAGAAACGCGAAAAAUGUCAGGUAGUUAACUGUUUAUAACAGUUAAAACUCCAAGCAAAAAGCAAUGAUUGUUUGU
rnacentral:misc_RNA from 1 species